GUGGCGCACGGGUGAGUAACGCGUGGGAACCUACCUUUUAGUUCGGGAUAACAGUUGGAAACGAUUGCUAAUACCGUAUACGCCCUCCGGGGGAAAGGUCUGCCGCUGAAAGAGGGGCCCGCGUCUGAUUAGCUUGUUGGUAGGGUAAAAGCCUACCAAGGCUACGAUCAGUAGCUGGUCUGAGAGGAUGAUCAGCCACACUGGGACUGAGACACGGCCCAGACUCCUACGGGAGGCAGCAGUCGGGAAUAUUGGACAAUGGAGGAAACUCUGAUCCAGCAAUGCCGCGUGUGUGAUGAAGGCCCUAGGGUUGUAAAGCACUUUCAACGGUGAAGAUGAUGACGGUAGCCGUAGAAGAAGCCCCGGCUAACUUCGUGCCAGCAGCCGCGGUAAUACGAAGGGGGCGAGCGUUGUUCGGAAUUAUUGGGCGUAAAGGGCGCGCAGGCGGUUUGGAUAGUUAGACGUGAAAGCCCUGGGCUUAACCUAGGAACUGCGUUUAAUACUGCCAAACUAGAGAACUAGAGAGGAUAGCGGAACUCCCAGUGUAGAGGUGAAAUUCGUAGAUAUUGGGAAGAACAUCAGUGGCGAAAGCGGCUGUCUGGCUAGUUUCUGACGCUGAGGCGCGAAAGCGUGGGGAGCAAACAGGAUUA
rnacentral:rRNA from 1 species